GACGAACGCUGGCGGCGUGCUUAACACAUGCAAGUCGAACGGAAAGGCCAUGCUUUUGUUGGGUGCUUGAGUGGCGAACGGGUGAGUAACACGUGAGUAACCUGCCCUUGACUUUGGGAUAACUUCAGGAAACUGGGGCUAUUACCGGAUAGGAGCUUUUGCUGCGUGGUGUGGGUUGGAAAGUUUCGGCGUUUGUGGAUGUACUCGCGGGUUAUGAGCUUGUUGGUGUGGUAGUGGCUUACCAAGGCUUUGACGGGUAGCCGGCCUGAGAGGGUGACCGGCCACAUUGGGACUGAGAUACGGCCCAGACGCCAACGGGAGGCAGCAGGGGGGAAUAUUACACAAUGGGCGGAAGCCUGAUGCAGCAACGCCGCGUGCGGGAUGCCGGCCUUCGGGGUGUAAACCGAUUUCGACUGUGACGAAGCGUGAGUGACGGUAAUGGGUAAAGAAGCACCGGCUAACUACGUG
rnacentral:rRNA from 1 species